UCUCUUCUGGGGAGACAGAGAGGCCUCCCUUGUUUUAGCCACAACCCACCUGGCCUUUCCCUGUGACCCUGCAGCUACCCUGGGCAGAGAUGGAACCAGAGAGACCAUUUAAGCAUGAGAUAACACACUCUGCUAAUCCCAAUAUAGAGGCUGGCCUUCACCUGAGCUCUGAAGAUGAUGCUGAGAGGCCAGAGGUGGUUCUGGGUCUGUUUUGCAUGGGGAGGUCUCAGCCCCUGCACAAGGCUGUCCUGACAUAUAAAUACGUCUCUGUCCCCGUCUGCCUCAUUCUGGGCUCAGAGCUCUCUGCCUGCAGCUCUACAGAGGACACAAUGAUGUCCCCAUCCCAGCUCCUCUGCCUCCUGGUGCUCUGGGCUCAGGAGUCCAGGACAGCCAUUGUGAUGACCCAGACUCCAGCCUCCGUGUCUGUGGCUCUGGGAGAGACAGUCAGCCUCAGCUGCAGGGCCAGUGAGGACAUUAGUGGGUAUUUAGCCUGGUACCAGAAGCCUCCAGGAAAACCUCCUAAACCUCUUAUCUAUGCUGCUGAUCAACGGGAGUCUGGGGUCCCUGCCCGCUUCAGGGGCAGUGGGUCUGGGACAGAUUAUACUCUCACAAUCAGUGGGGUGGUGACUGAUGAUGGUGCAAAUUACUACUGUCAGCAGUAUGAUGAGUUCCCAUCCCACAGUGAUGGAGGCCUGAACAAAAACCUCCCCAGGCUGUGGAGCCCUUCAGCUCAGGACAGCAGCUGCUUCUUGCACAGCAUCUGA